GCCUACGGGGGGCAGCAGUAGGGAAUCUUCCACAAUGGGCGAAAGCCUGAUGGAGCAACGCCGCGUGGGUGAAGAAGGUCUUCGGAUCGUAAAACCCUGUUGUUAGAGAAGAAAGUGCGUGAGAGUAACUGUUCACGUUUCGACGGUAUCUAACCAGAGAGCCACGGCUAACUACGUGCCAGCAGCCGCGGUAAUACGUAGGUGGCAAGCGUUAUCCGGAUUUAUUGGGCGUAAAGGGAACGCAGGCGGUCUUUUAAGUCUGAUGUGAAAGCCUUCGGCUUAACCGGCGUAGUGCAUUGGAAACU
rnacentral:rRNA from 1 species